CGCGUAGGCGGCUCCAAAAGUCAGGGGUGAAAUCCGGGCAGCUUAACUGUCGCAGUGCCUUUGAUACUGUGGAGCUAGAGGGAGGUAGGGGUCUGUGGAACUUCCGGUGGAGCGGUGAAAUGCGUUGAUAUCGGAAGGAACGCCGGUGGCGAAAGCGACGGACUGGAUCUCUUCUGACGCUGAGGCGCGAAAGCCAGGGGAGCAAACGG
rnacentral:rRNA from 1 species